rnacentral:pre_miRNA from 17 species
GCUGUGCGGCAGCAGGACUUAACCCACAUGUGAACAGUGAGUGUCUGCCAUGUUCACAGUGGUUAAGUUCUGCCGCCACA